CUGUCAUCUAGCACUGAUUCACUACGAAGGAAAAGGAGACAUUAUUCACUAAAUUAGUAAAAACAAAUUGUAAAAUUCAAUCCAAAGUAACAGAACUGGGGUAGUAGCCGAAGUGGAUUUUUUUUUUCCAAAGGAACUUUUUUUGGCCAAGUUUUGCAAUGUAAUUUCUUUUAUUUUUUGAGUCAUAUGAGGGAUUGCACUAUAUACAUAAGAGCUUUUAUAUACAUAAG